rnacentral:rRNA from 1 species
CAACUUUCAACAACGGAUCUCUUGGCUCUCGCAUCGAUGAAGAACGCAKCGAAAUGCGAUAAGUAAUGUGAAUUGCAGAAUUCARUGAAUCAUCGAAUCUUUGAACGCACCUUGCACUCCUUGGUAUUCCGAGGAGUAUGCCUGUUUGAGUGUCAUUA